CUGUAAGCCUGCGAAGGUGUACUGUGAGGUAUGCUGGAGGUAUCAGAAGUGCGAAUGCUGACAUAAGUAACGAUAAAGCGGGUGAAAAGCCCGCUCGCCGGAAGACCAAGGGUUCCUGUCCAACGUUAAUCGGGGCAGGGUGAGUCGACCCCUAAGGCGAGGCCGAAAGGCGUAGUCGAUGGGAAACAGGUUAAUAUUCCUGUACUUGGUGUUACUGCGAAGGGGGGACGGAGAAGGCUAUGUUGGCCGGGCGACGGUUGUCCCGGUUUAAGCGUGUAGGCUGGUUUUCCAGGCAAAUCCGGAAAAUCAAGGCUGAGGCGUGAUGACGAGGCACUACGGUGCUGAAGCAACAAAUGCCCUGCUUCCAGGAAAAGCCUCUAAGCAUCAGGUAACAUCAAAUCGUACCCCAAACCGACACAGGUGGUCAGGUAGAGAAUACCAAGGCGCUUGAGAGAACUCGGGUGAAGGAACUAGGCAAAAUGGUGCCGUAACUUCGGGAGAAGGCACGCUGAUAUGUAGGUGAAGUCCCUCGCGGAUGGAGCUGAAAUCAGUCGAAGAUACCAGCUGGCUGCAACUGUUUAUUAAAAACACAGCACUGUGCAAACACGAAAGUGGACGUAUACGGUGUGACGCCUGCCCGGUGCCGGAAGGUUAAUUGAUGGGGUUAGCGCAAGCGAAGCUCUUGAUC
rnacentral:rRNA from 1 species